rnacentral:misc_RNA from 1 species
GAUGAAGAACGUAGCGAACGUGCGAAACGUAAUGUGAAUUGCAGAAUUCAGUGAAUCAUCGAAUCUUUGAACGCAUCUUGCGCUCCUUGGUAUUCCGAGGAGCAUGCCUGUUUGAGUGUCGUGAAUACUCUCAACUCCAACCCUUUUUUCGGAAAGGGAGGAAGGUUGGACUUGGGUGUUUGUUGAAGUGCGAGCUUCGACUCAUCCUAAAUGCAUUAGCGAUCUGCCUCGAUCACACACAAUGUGAUAAUUAAAACUAAAGCAUUGUUUAAUGAUCAAGUCGAGACUGCUUCUAACUGUCGCAAGACAAUAACGUGCAUACAUUUGUGCAUGUCAUUUGACCUCAAAUCAGGUAGGACUACCCGCUGAACUUAAGCAUAUCAAUAAGCGGAGGA